rnacentral:rRNA from 1 species
AUUGAACGCUGGCGGCAUGCCUUACACAUGCAAGUCGAACGGUAACAGGCCGCAAGUUGCUGAUGAGUGGCGAACGGGUGAGUAAUGCAUCGGAACGUGCCCAGUCGUGGGGGAUAACUGCCCGAAAGAGCAGCUAAUACCGCAUACGACCUGUGGGUGAAAGCGGGGGACCGGAAGGCUUCGCGUGAUUGGAGCGGCCUGUGGCAGAUUAACUAGUUGGUGGGGUAAAGGCCUAACAAGGCGACGAUCUGUAGUUGGUCUGAGAGGACGACCAGCCACACUGGGACUGAGACACGGCCCAGACCCCUACGGGAGGCAGCAGUGGGGAAUUUUGGACAAUGGGCGCAAGCCUGAUCCAGCAAUGCCGCGUGCAGGAAGAAGGCCUUCGGGUUGUAAACUGCUUUUGUCAGGGAAGAAAUCUUCUGGGUUAAUACCUCGGGGGGAUGACGGUACCUGAAGAAUACGCACCGGCUAACUACGUGCCAGCAGCCGCCGUAACAC